rnacentral:tRNA from 1 species
AAAGGGAGACCUAAUUCGGGUAGGAGACGAAAAAAAAGUAGUCGCUACCAAGAAUCAAUCCCAAAAGGUCGGAGCGAGGCGAAAUUGGCUUUCAAACUAGGUUCUGGGUUCACACAAGACCUGAAUCAGGAACAAGGGCUAUUAGCUCAGGUGGUUAGAGCGCACCCCUGAUAUGGGUGAGGUCCCUGGUUCGAGUCCAGGAUGGCCCACCUGCACAGGUGGCAAAAACAAGAGAAGCGAGGAAUCAGCACCUUAUCUUACCUACAUAGUAAGAGAGAAUGCUGGCUCUGAGUACAGAGUCCAGAGGAACCUUGAAAACUGCAUAGAGCUAGGUGAAAAAGCCAAAAAAGAAGACCGCAAG